rnacentral:rRNA from 1 species
AACGAACGUUAGCGGCGCGCCUAACACAUGCAAGUCGAACGCGGUUGGGGGCAACUCCAGUCGAGUGGCGCACGGGUGAGUAACACGUAGGUAAUCUCCCCCCGAGUGGUGGAUAACCCUCCGAAAGGAGAGCUAAUACAGCAUGAGACCACGGCUUCGAAAGGAGCUGAGGUCAAAGCGGAGGUCGCAAGACUUCGCGCUUGGGGAUGAGCCUGCGGCCCAUCAGGUAGUUGGCGGGGUAAUGGCCCACCAAGCCAUAGACGGGUAGCUGGUCUGAGAGGAUGAUCAGCCACACUGGAACUGAGACACGGUCCAGACUCCUACGGGAGGCAGCAGUGGGGAAUCUUGCGCAAUGGACGAAAGUCUGACGCAGCGACGCCGCGUGGGUGAUGAAGGCCUUCGGGUUGUAAAGCCCUGUGGGGAGGGACGAAUAAGUUCCGGUCAAUACCCGGAGCGAUGACGGUACCUCCUUAGCAAGCACCGGCUAACUCUGUGCCAGCAGCCGCGGUAACAC